rnacentral:ncRNA from 2 species
AAAACGUAAAUUCGCCGAGCUUCCGUUGCUAAAUUUCAUGUAAAUAUGCAGCCUUAGCCGUGAUUAUUCUUUAAUCGCCAGGGUUAAUAGGGAAACUUAUUAGCCUCCCGACAUUUGGAAAGGUGAAAUGUUAACUGACAA